rnacentral:lncRNA from 1 species
UUUUUUUAAUUUCAUUGACUUGAUGGGGGCAUUUCAUGUGAAAAUUAGAGGGUGGAAGAUGUCGGUUCUUGCGCGAACCGACCUCUCCCGAAUUUUUGUUGUGUUUUUCCUUUUUCUUGAGAGGUAGGGUGAGGUCAGUUCUUGAGAGGUAGGGUGAGGUCAGUUCUUGCGCGAACCAACCUCUCCCAGUGACUUAUGUUUUUUUCCUUUGCAUUUCUUGAAGUUUACAAUCUAUUUUUCACAUCUUUUACUUACAAACUUUUCUUGUGAGAGCAGAUAUAAAUCAAGCUUGACUGCUUGAAACUUCCAAUAAGGGACUUGAACUUCAAAUGCCACAAG